GAUGCAGCCAUGCCGCGUGUAUGAAGAAGGCCUUCGGGUUGUAAAGUACUUUCAGCAGUGAGGAAGGGGGUGUACGUUAAUAGCGUGCAUCUUUGACGUUAGCUGCAGAAGAAGCACCGGCUAACUCCGUGCCCAGCAGCCGCGGUAAUACGGAGGGGUGCGAGCGUUAAUCGGAAUUACUGGGCGUAAAGGCGCAUGCAGGUGGUUUGUUAAGUCAGAUGUGAAAGCCCGGGGCUCAACCUCGGAAUAGCAUUUGAAACUGGCAGACUAGAGUACUGUAGAGGGGGGUAGAAUUUCAGGUGUAGCGGUGAAAUGCGUAGAGAUCUGAAGGAAUACCGGUGGCGAAGGCGGCCCCCUGGGACAGAUACUGACACUCAGAUGCGAAAGCGUGGGGAGCAAACAGGAUUAGAUACCCUGGUAGUCCACGCCGUAAACGAUGUCUACUUGGAGGUUGUGGCCUUGAGCCGUGGCUUUCGGAGCUAACGCGUUAAGUAGACCGCCUGGGGAGUACGGUCGCAAGAUUAAAACUCAAAUGAAUUGACGGGGGCCCGCACAAGCGGUGGAGCAUGUGGUUUAAUUCGAUGCAACGCGAAGAACCUUACCUACUCUUGACAUCCAUAGAACUUCCAGAGA
rnacentral:rRNA from 1 species